UGAUUUAGGAAUAUUUUGUCGUUUUUCUCAUGUGUAGCUAGAGGACUCUACAGCGCCCCCUAUUUUGUUUAGGCCAUUAAAUUAGCUGUAGCUGUCUCAAAAUUUCUCCAAUAUUCUCGAUUUUUGGCAACAACAUAGAAACUAUCAUCCCGCACAUAUUACCCAUUGGCUUGUACUAGCUCUGCCCAACAGGAAGUCGGCCAUUUUGAAAUUUGUGGAAUUUUUACACAUUUUUCACGAACUCAUUCAAACUCCUCCUAGAGUCUUUGUCAUAUUACCUCUAAAUUUGGUGUGGAUAGGCUCCAGACAUACAUGGUGAUAAAUUGCGAAGGAAUAGUCGAUAGCUGAAACGAUGACGUAAUGGCGGACAAUUAAUUUAAUGGAGACGCAACACUAGACCAAAGUGAAACCAUGACAAAAUGAAAAAUCAUGAAACUUGGUAAAAACACAAGAGACAUCAUAAGACACGUUUUUAGUAUUGGAAUGAUUGACUCCGCCCAACAGGAAGUCGGCCAUUUUGAAAUAUGUGCAUUUUACACACAUUUUUUGCAUACUUUGUCGAACUCCUCCUAGGGAAUUUGUUGAAUACUCUUGAUAUUUGUCAGCAAAAAACUACUACCAUCCGUGAUGAUAAAUUGCGAAGGAAUAGUCGAUAUCUUAAACGAGGACGAAAUGGCGGACAGUUGAACUGCUUGAGAUGCCCCAUUAAAACAGGAAGUGAAUACAUUCUGGUGUUAGUAGGUGUUAAAAGGAGGUUAAAAAGGUUGAAAACUCUCGAAAAUUUACAGGCCUGCUUGAACUAAGCAGUACUUUCAUCUGAAAUUAAAAUUUCUUGUAUACGUAUUUCAUUGGCUCUAUAGCGCCACCUAGGUUUCAAUGCAUAUUUGACAUUACGGGAAUGCUCAAAACCUCUUGAAAAUUGACAGAUUGCAUAAGACCUAAAAACACUUUACAAAUAUUUUGACAUUUUUUUCAUGUAUAGCUAGCAGACUCUACAGCGCCCCCUAAUUCGUUUGUUUAAUAAAUUAGCUGUGGAUGUGUCAAAAUUUGUCUAAUCUUCUCAAAUUUUGGUAGGAUCGUAGAUAGUAUGACCCUGCACAUAUUUGCAAUUGGCUUGUAUUAGCUCCGCCCAACAGGAAGUCGGCCAUAUUGGAAUUUGUAAUAUUUUUACAAAUUUUUCACAAACUAAUUUAAACUGCUCCUAAAGUCUUUGUCAGAUUACCUCUUAUUUCGCUGUAAAUGAACAACAGACAUAUUUGAUGAUAAUUGCCAAAGGAUUAGUUGAUCGGUAAAACGGUGACCCAAUGGCGAGCAAUUGAGUCACUAGAGACGCAACACUAAACCAAAGUGAAACCAUGACAUGGUCAGAAAACAGAUUAUUGAAAAUUCAUGAAACUUGGCAAAAACACAAAAGACAUCAUUACACACAUUUUCAGCAUUGGUAGGACUGACUCCGCCCAACAGGAAGUCGGCCAUUUUGAAAUAUCUGCAUUUUACACACAUUUUUUGUGUACAUUGUAAAACUACUCCUAGCAAAUUUGAUGAAUUCUCUUGGUAUUUGGUAAAAAUAAACAUUGAACAUAUCUGAUGAUAAAUUGUGAAGAAAUAGUCGAUAUCUCAAACGAGGACGAAAUGGCAGAUGGUUGAAUUUUUGAGAUCCCACAUCAAAACAGGAGGUGAAAACCUAGGUAAUGCCAGGUGUUUUGAGGAGGUUAUAACGGAGAAAAACUCACAAAAUUUGACCGGCCUGCUUAUCUAAGGCUGUUGUUUGAUGUAGAAUUAGAAUUUCAAGUACAUGUAUUUUAACAGCGCCAUAGCGCCACCUGUAUUUUAAAUGGAUAUUUCACAUGUUUAACAGGAUAGAAAACUCUUGAAAAUUGGCACACUCAAUAAGACCUCAAAAUUACUUUUACCGGUUUCUCGGUUUGGCCCGGUACGAUUUGCGCUGUUGUGCGAGGGCCCUACGUCCCCCUGUGACAGGGGGACAACUCGUUAUUAUUAGGGCCCGAGCACCGAAGGCGCAGGCGAAGCCUGCACCGGAGGUGCAAAGCCCUAUUGUUUUUGGUCCGUUUAUUAUUAUUAUUAUUAUUAGGGCCCGAGCACCGAAGGCGCAGGCGAAGCCUGCACCGGAGGUGCAAAGCCCUAUUGUUUUUGGUCCGUUUAUUAUUAUUAUUAUUAUUCUGCCUCUUUGCGUCCAUUUUUGAGGCAUUUCCGAUACUCGAAAACUCACGCAUUUUGGCACAGACCUCAAGCUCGGCGAAAAUUUUAAACUUCCAUAGAGGCUGGACUUUGGCGUUGUUCAGGAGCUCUAUAGCGCCCCCAAACGUCGGCAGUGGCCGGGAUGAAGUUUGUCCAACAUGCACCAACUUUGGUACGCUCAUUGACC